CUAAAAACUUAUAUUUUAUUUUAGGAUCUGCCAAACGCAAUGAACGCAGCCGAAAUCACCGACAAGCUCGGUUUGCACUCACUCAGAAACCGUAAUUGGUACAUACAGGCGACGUGUGCAACCAGCGGCGAUGGUCUAUAUGAAGGUCUCGAUUGGUUAUCCAAUCAGCUUAAGAAUGCUAAUCGCUAAAUACACAUACAUAUAUAAAUAUAAAUUAAAGAAAAAUACAUUUUUGAUUUGAACAUAAAGUUAAUGAAAAUUUGAAUAAAAGAGAAACAAAAAGCGAAAAUGAAAGCAAGAAAAUCAACUGAAAUCAAAAUCCUACUGAUCCCAAUUCCCCUCAUAUCCAAACUGCAACAAUAUCAAGCAAUUUAAGGCGGUUAUCAUUUGUUUAGCGGUUGUUGAAAACAUUGAACGUAGUGAUAUAAAAGAAGACGAUUUUAGAGAACGGAACAUCAGAAGGACACAAUAUAAAACAUGUAAAACCGCUAUAUAAAGAAACUAUCCAUUUUCAAUUUGUACAUGUAUGUAUGUUAAUGACAACAAUAACAAAUCGCAAAACAUAAUGUGCAUCCAAAAGUAAAGAUGAGUUGUGAAGGAAGGGAAGAAACAUCAACAAGGGACUACAAAUACGGCAUCCACUUCUAAAUUCAAAAAAAAUAUAAACGAAGGCAAAACACAUACACAUACAACACACAUGCUCUUUAUAUACAAAAAAAUAUAAUAAAUAAUAAAUUGUAACGAAAAAUGGAACGAUCGCAAAAUACAUAGGUAAAAACAAUGGCAACUUUAAUAAGGUAAUAUAAAAGACGAUGCGCUCGGCCUGUACUCCACCACUUUCUUUUGGCAUGAGACAAGUGAACAUUUUAUUGGGUCGUAUGAGAAGUCUCCGCGUAUUUUUGACAAAGUUUUUGAAAUAAAAUUUCUUCAUUGGAACUCAAUUUUA